AUCUGUAUCCAGAAAGCAAUCAUUUCAAGAAUGGAACUUCUUGAGAUCUUUAUAAAACUCCAACGGGCCCUUCUUUUACUACUCUGAACAUGGACUAUUGGCUUCUCUUCCAAAAUGCACUCCAUGGGAUUUAAGGAAAUUGAAAUAACCACGACAAGGACAUCAGCUGUUCUUUGAUCUCCUGUCCUGUUCUAAUAGGAAAUUAGAGGUCUAGGAUUUUCUCUCUUUAAAAUCUCUGUGACUUUUUUUGCUAUGAAAUGACCCCAGGUUUUUGUAUAGCUGUGCAUCACUGUGGUAUAUCUUCGGAGAAGGAACCCAGCUAAUUGUCACAGGUCAGGAUCCAGUAUCUCCUUCAGUCCAAGUCUUUGCUCCUUCUGAGCAAGAGAUCAAAACCCAGAAGAAGGCCACUCUGGUAUGUCUCCUAAGUGGCUUUCACCCACCCGCUUUCACCCUGAAAUGGAAGGUUGAUGGUACAGAGACCACCUCUGGAGUGGAGACAACCAAAGCCACCAAGCAGGGUGACAAAUACCUUGCCAGCAGUUACCUGACCAGGAGUGAUUCCGACUAUGGAGACCAUACGUACGUCUGUGAAGUGACACAUAAUGGAAAUACCUUUACAAAGGCUCUUACGGGAUCUGGAAGUUGUUAACUCCGUCAUGAGCCUUCUCCUGACCACAGACAGGAGGAAAGAGUCCCUUUUCUCAUUCAUUCUUUCCUAAGUUGAGCUUGAUCACUAAUGUCUCUUCCUACAACAAAGUAGUUACACUCUUUGUAUUCCCUCCAUGCUUUCGUUCUUCGAAUUGAUGCCCCCCGCUUUGAUCUGUUAGAUUCUACUGUCAGCAAAUUAAUAAAGAUGGAUCUAUUUCA